GCUCUGUUGCAUCUCCCAAGACAGCUGAUUGAUAAAUAGCCAUCAAGGAAGUGAAUUUUAUGACCCCAACUCCUCCCUCAUUAUAUUAUCAUAGUUGGACCUCAAGAGGAUGACAACAUACCUCCUUCUUGCCACAUGGCAGGGCCACUGCCUUCCAAAAUGGUGGCUAGAGCUUGCUGAUUUCAUUAUCUAGCAAAAUCCAGCCCAGCGAUAUGCCUGGAAAUAAAUUACUUGGAAGAUGGCUGAUCUUCUAAACCUGAGGUUCAAAUGCUGAACUGGAACUGAGCAUGCCUAGAAAGGGCCCCAAUGACUUGAUUUUGUUCUCUUUCUUGCCUGACUUCAAAUGAGGAGGCAAUAAUUGGCAUCUGCCUCCAGAUGUCCUUUAUCAUAAAUUCAGAUGUAUCUGCACGUCCCAAGGAACUUCCCAAACAAUGAGCUAGAUCUGGCAAUGCAUGUACCAACCUCUUCAUCUAUGUGGACAUCCCUAGAAAGUAGACUGCCAAAGUAAGAAUAUUGAUGCCCAGAGGAAUGGAGCAGUUGUCCAAGUUGCACAAGGUCCAUGAAUCAGUUUUCCACUGGUGCCCCAAGAAAUAAGAGGAAAAAGGAAGGAAGGCCUCUGGAAGAAUCAUAGAUCAGGCAGACAUGAAUGUGUAUAAUAAAUAUUGUUGCAGAAAAUUUCCA
rnacentral:lncRNA from 1 species